rnacentral:rRNA from 1 species
GAUGAACGCUAGCGGCAGGCUUAAUACAUGCAAGUCGUGGGCAGCAUGAGUAGCAAUGCUUGAUGGCGACCGGCAAACGGGUGAGGAACACGUACACAACCUUCCCUUCAAGCGGGAAUAGCCCAGAGAAAUUUGGAUUAAUACCCCAUAAUAUAUUUGAUAAGGCAUCUUAUUAAUAUUAAAGGCUUCGGCACUUGAUGAUGGGUGUGCGGCUGAUUAGAUAGUUGGCGGGGUAACGGCCCACCAAGUCUACGAUCAGUAGCUGAUGUGAGAGCAUGAUCAGCCACACGGGCACUGAGACACGGGCCC